CUGCUUGUCUCUGGUUUAACUGUUAUCUGUAGCUCCAUUAAGGAUGUUAAAGUGAUAUCAGAUCUCAGCAGAUAAUGAAGUAACAGUCCAAGUCCUGUUAUCCUGUUGGUUCUUAUGUGUUUGAGAAUUUCUGUGUAGACACCAAGAAGAAAUUGUGCUCAAAUCAAGAUGCUGAUGUUUUGGUUAGUUGUCAAAAUGAUUUGGUGCAUCGUGACAAUGAGAAGGACGUGACUGGGAAAGCUACAUUAGUGGAAAACCGUGCGAUUAAAGGUCUAGCAAAUAAGACACUUGGAAAGUGUGAAGGUGAAAAGGAACAGAAAGAAGAGCACGACUAUGAGUACGUGGAUGAAAACAUAGUUGAAUACAUAAGGAAAGCAUUUCAAGACGGCACAUUUUGCCAGUUGUAUCCUGGGCUGCAUCAGAAGCAUGGUCAGCAGAAUGAGGGAGGUGAUCCUGUCUCUCUGCUCUGCUCUGGUGAGACCUUGCCUGGAGUACUGCAUCCAGAUGUGGAGUCCUCAGUACAGGAGAGACACAGAUCUGUUGGAGUGCGUCCAGAGGAGUGCCACAAAAAUGAUCCAAGGGAUGGAACAACUCUCCUACAAGGACAGGCUGAAAGAGCUGGGGCUGUUCGGCCAGGAGAAGAAAAGGCUCUGGAAAGACCUGAAAAUUGCCUUUCAGUAUCAAAAGGGGUGCUGUAAAAAAGAAGGGGUUAGACUCUUUAGCAGGGUCUGUUGUGAUAGGACAAGGGGAAAUGGUUUCAAACUAAAAGAGGGGAGAUUUAUACUGAAUAUAAGUUAAAAAAUACAUAUACAGUAAGGGUAGUAACGCAUUGAAACCAGGGAUGUGGUGGAUGCUCUGCCCCUGGAGUAAGACCGGACUGGGCUCUGAGCACCCUGAUCUUGCUGUAGGUGUCCCUGUACUUUGCAGGGAGACCUUUAAAUGUCCCUUCCAAGUCAAAUGAUUCUACAAUUCCAAAUAGGGAUAGCCUCUGAAGAAAGUGUGUGGUUGUAGUCUAUCAUCACAUAUUGAUGCAAACAAAUGUUGUCAGAGUGAUUUUCAUGUUUUCCAGUAACCACUAUCCUUCAACAUGAGAAAAAGUUUUCUCUGGGAACUACCAUCACUGAUUGUCGCAUAUGUUCUGUGAAGAAUGUGGGAAAGGCACACCUGAGUUAGACACAACUACUUGUGACCCAGUGUUGCUCUUAGUGAUGCCACCUUUGUCAAAGUGGUACCUCUAGUUGUUCUGGUAAUAUAAGUGCAUACGUGGAGCUAAAACCUUAAUUAGACUAACAAUACAAAAAUACUUGGAAACACAGAGAGAAAAGCUUUGUAUCUGAAAGCUUGCCUAAUUUUUCUGAUUUGUAUCAGUUUGGUGUAACUGCAAUCUUUGUCCCCUUUUUAGAAGUGGGCACUUUCUAGCCAAUAAGAUCUGUCUCUUAAAAAGCUUUGAGAAAAUUAUUUGUGUUUCUACUAAUUUAUUGUAUUUCAGCUUUGGCAGCCUUUGGAAGACAGGCCUCAGUAGGUGGGAGCACAUCCAUGAGAUGUCCAACCCCUCCUUAUGCAGUGGCAAAAGUAUGUUGUAGCUUCUUGUAAUUUACCCAGUAAUUUUCAUGCUUUCCAGUGCAAUUAUGGUAUCCACAUGACCAGCUAUUCUUCUGCUCACAGCCUCAGAAGCUCAGAAGUUACAGGAAUAAUUGAAAAAUGAAGCAAAGUAGUCUGCUUCACAAACUAGCAUUUAUAAUUUCUAUCUAACUUCCACAUUCGCACUUGUGAGCAUUUUAAGAAAUGUGGAUUUGAUGUAGGCAUAUGAUAUUAACUAUUAAUGUGGGAAAAUGCCAUAUAAAACUUUCCAAGUAAAGUGAUUUAUGGAGCUUAAAAGUCAGUUUUUGAGCAUGUAUGCUACAUCGCUGCUUAAAGGAGGUAUUAAAAAUAACCAAAUAAAUUUUAAGUUUACUUACAGGAAAAUAAUGCA